ACGGUCAUAUAACGUUCGAACACGGUUCCCGUAUGAUCAUCGAAGUUAAGCAACGUCGAACCUAGUCAAUACCUAGAUGGGUGACCGCUUGGGAAUAGCAGGUGUUGCAAG